AUAUGUUGCCCAUUAAGCUCAAUCAUAAAAAAAAAUCCUAAAAACCAGAAACGAUGAAAGAUGAACUCCAGACCCUUUAGUAUUGUUCUUCGUCGUUUCAAUUUCUCUAACUAAUUAACACACUACUCCAUCUCUGUGCAAUCAAACCUCUCGAAAAUUCACAUCUACUUGGGAGUACUUAAUCGCCGGUGGCCAAAUAUGCAGCUUUAAUAUAACCAAAGCAAUGAUUGCCAGAUCCACUUCUCCGGAAAAUUCGAGCACCGAAACACCAGCGAAAUCCCACAUCGUCUUGGAAAGCUUCAAGUCUCGACCUUUCUGCAUCCUCUGUCUGUUAACUUUGCCAUGUGUUGUUUGCAGGAAUCUAGGAUCGUGGCUCUAUCAGUUCGCAUGAUCCAUCAAGACCCAAAUUGUUCAUAGUCAUUGAUACAUCCUAUUGUUUUCCGUAAAAGUUUGUUUAAUUCAAUUAUCAUAAUCAUGUUUUCGGAACAUAUGGUUCUGAGUUUUUUCUUAUUUUGUUUUGUUUUGUGGUUUCUUCCGUCAAGUCUCAGCUUUUUGUAUAGUUAUGUGUUUGCAGGCGUUUCCAGGUCAUAUGAACACUGUUUCUUGCCUAUGUUUCAGACACGGGAUUUCAGAAGUCUAUUCUGGUUCUUUUGAUCGGAGUGUCAAGGCGUGGAAUGUACAAGGUUGAGCUUUUGUGCAAGACAGUUUCGGACACCAGGAUGAGAUUCUAGCCAUUGAUGCGCUGAGGAAGGAGCGUGCACUUACUCUUGGAAGAGAUAGAACCAUGCUAUUACACAAGAUGUCUGAGACAAGUUGUACGAUUUACCGUGCACCUGCAUCGUCUCUUGAGAGCUGUUGUUUCAUCAAUGAUACUGAGUACCUGUCUGGUUCGGACAAGAAUGGACUGUUGAAAAAGAUACCAGUGUUUCUCCUUAAGAAUGCACAUUCCGUUGUAGCUGGUGGAAUCACCACUAAUGAAAAUGGUGAUCAUGAUUGUGUGGAGUAUAGCAACUCUUCCACAACGAGUUCUUGGGUGAGUUCAGCUGCUGUGUGAAGAGGUAGUGACUUUGCCGCAUCUGGAGCUGGUAAUGGUUUUGUGCAUUUGAUGGUUGUUGAAGCAAGUGCCCUUUGGAUCUUUAUUCAAGCUUCCACUGAAGACUGGAUUUGUGAACUCUAUGGCAUUUGCAAAAUCUGGUAAUUUUUGAUUGUUGGUGUUGGACAGAGACGAGAUUUGGAAGAUGGAGAUGCAUAAAAUCUGUGCAGAAUGGUGUGGCAAUACAUCCCUUAAGGCUGUCAUAAGGAUUUAAUGAAGAGUUGGUACUUAUAUUUUUCUGAAUCUCAAGUUAUGUAAUGGCUUCUACUACAAGAAGUUUUGCUCCAUUUCUGUUUGUUUUAUUGUACCCUAUUUUUUUUAUAAUACAAGAGUGAGAAGAACUUUAACUUUUUUGAGGUCCUGAUGAAUCAAAGAUGUGAAGAACUACAUAUAAUUUAUAUAAAGGAUAACUAUUAGUAACUACUAUCACAUUUAGUUAAGAUGUUUGCUCAUCUGAACUUUAACUGUUCUUGAUUUAAAGCUAAGAGACUCCUGAAACAACUGUUGCCAUGACUAAGAAAUGUACUCACCUAUAAAGUGAAGCCAUUAACUUCAGUGGAUAAGUUUGGAUAUAAUGAACACACCAAAAAAGAAUGUGAUUUCACAAAGAAGUCAUCACCACACUUUGAAUAAAUGGAAAUCGUAAAGUUGCCGACCUCACAUUAACAACAUAUACAUACUUUUAAAUUUUAAUAUUGAAUCAGUAACGUAACAAACAAUAGCAAAGACUUUAAGUUUUCAGGAAUUACGUAACGGUUGCUACCUUAUGUCUUCGCCUCUUAACUUUUCUCUUGACUCUUAAGGAACUCUCAGCCUGCACACUUGAGAACAUACUCAUCUGCACACACCCUAACAAGGUGAAACAGAGCUUGCUAUUAGACGUACCUACACCCAAAUGCCACGGUGAAGAAGGCUCCUCGGGCCAACACCUUUGAAAGCAUCAAACUCAAGUAAAAAAAAUCACUAUAUAAAACUAAAAUAGAUCAUCAACAAUCACCAGAAAAAAUGUAACACACAUAACAAUAAAACAGACAUGGCAGUACUAUAGAAUAAAAUACACUAAAUCAUCGUACCAACUUUGCAUAAAGAAAAACACAUGAAGGCCAAAUCAAUAAGACAAAUAAUUAACAACAGUAUAAAAAUAUUAGUUAUUCUUACUUUAGAUUUUCUUCAAUGUCAAAUUGAAAUACAAAUCAAAUAUAAAAAAAUAGAAAUCACUACAUUUUACAUAAUUUUUUAAUUUUGUGUUCUUCUAACAAAAAAAAACAAUGUUAGUGGUCUUUUUUUUGUUACUUAUGUUAAUGAUCUUUUCAACUUAAAUAAAAAAUUAAUAAAAUAUACAAUUUGAUCUUAGAAUAAAAAACUAUUAUAAUUUUUUUUUCAAUAUAAAUUAAAUUUCCAAAUGUUUUAUAAAAUUAUAUUAUAUUUUAAUAUAAAAUAGUUUCAGUGUAAACCCACCUGUCCAUAGGGUUUCUGAUCAUAAGAUAGUGAAUAUUUUCUACCAAAAUUUUGCAGAUAGAUUAUAAAACUACAGGUUAAAAUAUUACAGUAAUUAUUAUGUAAGUUAUUUAUACCAAAAAUAAAAUGAGGGUUCUGUUAAAAAAACUAGAAAUUUAUAUUUUGUAAUUUUCUUUUGUUAAUUAUUAGUAUUACUUAUGAAACUCUUACUUGCAUUAACUACAAUGAUUUUUUCAAUCGUUAUUUUUUUUCUAUUUAAUUUAGAAUUCUAUUUCUUCUGUUUUUAAUUAUAAGUUUAACAAUUCAAUAUAUUAUAUAUAUAAACAAUAUGAUCGGAAAUUUUGUUUAAAAUAGUAGGAUAAAUGAUUAUUAUUGAGUGACCACAAACAAAUAAUAAUUUGUUAGUCAGAAAACGAAAAGCUAAUAUUUCCACGUCAGUUUUUGUCUUUUUGUUAUUUUAAAAGAAAAACAAGUAUAUCUAACCUAUACUAAAAGGUGAAUAUGAAGCCUUGUGAAACUAUCCACGUCAUCAAUUAAAAUCAGCCAAUAAGGUGUCUGAAAUUUGCCACGUCAGCAGUCCGUAAAUUUAUCUGGGCUUAAAGUUUAGCCGGCCCGGUUCUGAUUGGUUUCGGGCAGCCCAAAUGUGGUAGAUACGGCUUCCAUGUUAUCCUCUCUUCCAGAACUCAACGUGGCCGUCUCGGCUUUUCAGAGUCUCAUCUCUUCGCCUCCCCUUUCGUUAUCUCUUCACAUUCCCUAUGGUUCAAUGUAUUUGUUUUAAUUCUACCAUAAUUGUUAAUCCCAUUGAAUCCAGAUUCCAUGUCGUCUUCUCCCUUUCAUUCAUCUCAAAUCUAUAAAUAUAAGCAGGUUGAGAGUAUGAUGGAUGCUCAGCACGAUUGUCAGUUUACCAUUUUAUUAAGCUAGAAAAAUUUUCAAAAAUGUCUUCCUCCGAUGCUGUUUUUUUGCACUCUGCGUUUGAGGCUCUCCGCCUCUGAAGAUCCGGCCAGUUCAUUGUUGCCAAAUUAAUCUGUUUUUGGGACUUGAAAAACAUCAAAAAACAUGGUUAAUUCAUGGAAAUCACUCUACUUCUCUUGAUGAUAAGAAUUCGGUGAUACAUGGAUUCAUCCUGCUGGUCGCGCCUCUUACUACCGUCCGUCUUUGCGAGGAGGUUCAGUCGUGAAGUUAAUUAGAGAGAGGAAGGAGCUGUCAUUCCAGUCAAAAAUCAGGGACACAUAUGUGGAAGUUGUUGGGCGCUCUCGGUGGUUGGAGCGGUGGAUGGUAUAAACAAGAUCAAGACCCGAGAAUUGAUAUAUUUGUGGGAACAAGAGUUCAUAGACUACUACAGAGAGGACGGCAAUGGUGGCUGUGAUGGAGGGUUUGUGUACAGGUCCAUGUGAGGAUGGCUUUGGAAACCAUGAUGUGCUAGCCGUGUGGCAUGGAACAACAGUCGGAGGUGAAGACUACUGGAUUAUUAUUUGUAACUCAUGGGGGUCAUAUUGGGGAGAAAGCGGAUACAUCAGGUCCUAACGUAACUAUCAUAAAUCAACCGGGAAAUGCAAAGUCGCAGCACGGUCUAUACCCAAUCAAGCCAAGCUCUCCAUUUGGUUUGGUGUCUACAGUUGGUUCUCCACGAGCAAGGAAUGAAGCUAAGUUGAGAUACAAAGAGAAGAAACUCAAGCACAUUAUUGGGAAAAAGGUUCGAUAUGCAUCUCGCAGAGCGAGAGCUUACCCGAGAAAAAUAGUGAGAGGAAGAUUCGUAAAAGCUGGUGACAAUUAUGACUAUGACCCAUCAUCACUAACCAUGAAAUCAAUGAGUUUUCUCUUCCCCUAAAACAAUUUUUAUUUUGAAUCGAAGAAAUCAACAUGUUGCGGCAUGGAAACGUUGGAGACCUGCACAAAGAAUGCUUAGAUGUAGUGAAAGUGACGAAUUGGGUGGAAGGCCAAAAUGGGUGAAAAUAUAGCAAUUUUGCUUCUUUUUUUUUAAAACAGAGCUCUUUCUUAUGUUAUUUACUUUUUUAAUAUUUCUAAUCAUUAUGUAACAGGGAAAAUCCUAACUACUUUUAUUUGUAAACUUAGAAAAGAAUAACUCUAAAAUAAUUUAUGUUAUAUACAUAUAUAUAUUUUUUUUUUACAAAA